rnacentral:rRNA from 1 species
GAUGAACGCUGGCGGCGUGCCUAAUACAUGCAAGUCGAGCGAACAGACGAGGAGCUUGCUCCUCUGACGUUAGCGGCGGACGGGUGAGUAACACGUGGAUAACCUACCUAUAAGACUGGGAUAACUUCGGGAAACCGGAGCUAAUACCGGAUAAUAUAUUGAACCGCAUGGUUCAAUAGUGAAAGACGGUUUUGCUGUCACUUAUAGAUGGAUCCGCGCCGCAUUAGCUAGUUGGUAAGGUAACGGCUUACCAAGGCAACGAUCCGUAGCCGACCUGAGAGGGUGAUCGGCCACACUGGAACUGAGACACGGUCCAGACUCCUACGGGAGGCAGCAGUAGGGAAUCUUCCGCAAUGGGCGAAAGCCUGACGGAGCAACGCCGCGUGAGUGAUGAAGGUCUUCGGAUCGUAAAACUCUGUUAUUAGGGAAGAACAAAUGUGUAAGUAACUAUGCACGUCUUGACGGUACCUAAUCAGAAAGCCACGGCUAACUACGUG